ACAAAAAAAAAAAAAGACACCACGAACACAUAGGAAGGCAAGCAGGCGAGCUCCUUAGCUUGGGCGAUAGCGGCGCCAGGGGAUGCCUCGCCGGCGUAGCCAGAUGAGCCCAUCCCCCGUGCGUGCUCACGCCCGACUGUCCGCGACCUGAGCACUAUCCUCCAACGCGGUGCGCCUUCUUAAAGGUGUAGCUUGCUAGGGUGGAUGGGACCUGUGAUUGCCCACAAGGUGUUCGACGGAAUGGCUGGGCCAUGUCCAUUGCAUGGCGUAGCAAAGGUACUCAUUCCUCCCGUUGAUCCCUGAAACGCAUAACACAUGUGAUGUCUGUUGUGUCCACUUUGGAUGCUAUAGCAAGGGAAGGGGCAUAGGAGUUCUAUUAUUCCCUCCGACACAAAAUACUUGUCGUGGUUUUAUUUCAAAUUUAAACUUAAUCCAAAAAAUAAUUUUGGACGGAGGGAAUAUUAUUAUUCUUAGGCAUGGAAGCGACGAGAUAAGCACAUGAUUUCACAAACAGGGUGCAUACAAUUUCUCUAUCAUGUCCUUGUAGGGACACAUGCAUGGCUACGGAAUGAUACUUCACAGUUCACACCUGUCGACUGUCCCAAACCUGUAGUCAGUGAAGUAUUCCUGGAGUCUUGGUUCCCAUUAGUGUCAACUGUCAUUGGUAUGCAGCGUUGGUACUUUGUCAGUUUUUAUAUCAUGUUUUUUGCUUGAUUAACUUCUUGUGGAGGGUUAUUGACUACAAAUGACAUAUGAUAUGCAUGGCAGUCGGGUUUUAUACAUAGCAAACCUCUGGUUUCCAUCAGAUUUCGGCACAGCUGAAGGCUAUGUUUAGACAAGGAAUAGCAUAAGUUAGGAUACCUUUUCUCUUAUGCACCUUUUGAAUUGCCGAUAAAUGAUUCCAAUUCCCUCGUUAAAUCAAUACCGGUCAAGAAUCUCUAUUUUGCGAUCGCAUGAUACACAAUUCAAAUGCUUAACAAUGGAGGGUCUUGUGGGGCUUGAGUUACAUACAUUCUUUUUUAGCAAUUUUAGUUUGAAUAUCUUGCAUUUGAACUUGAUGUCAGAAGAGACCCAACCUGUCUAUUUUCUGUUUGAACCUGACAUCAUGGAUUUGUGCUUCUUGAUUUCUGUUGUUACUCAAAUAUUAUUAUUGUAGCAUUCAUCAAACAUACAUCGACAUAAAACUAAUAGGCUUUAUGGCAUUUAUGUCCUGUACAUAAUUUGCAUCACUUCUCAAGUUCAUAACGAAAAUAGGAAGCCAAGUAGUAAAUAUUUAGAGGUCUGUCUGGGCUACAUUAGCAACAUUAUGGAACAGGUAGUAGGCAGUUUUUUGUCAUCUAAAUCUCAUUGAGAUUGCAUUGUUGAAAUCCUGCCUACUUUGAUACGCCUACUUGGGGGGUGUACAAUUUUAACUUAGUAAUCCAAGUGUAGGUAGAUAGAUUUUAUUUGCUAGUAUAUCUAUUUUGUUGUCUCAUCUCUCUCUGAACUCUGAAGUUUACUUCUAUGACUGAGAUAACAUAUACAGCUAUGUGUCAUCAGUUCAAAUUAUUUGGAAAUAACAUGUUUGGUAAAACAUUAUUUUCAUUUGAUUGUUUUGUAUCUUUGCACUUCUUCAGUACUUAUAUCGAAUCCAAGCCUCAACUGGACAUACUUUGGGUGCCCUACCUGCAUACAACACAUCUUUUCGAAUUAGGCUCUACCCCUAUUUCUAUUAAGCUGAAAAACAGACCUAGUUUUCAACUUUGGCUCUCUGCUUACAACACAAACACAUACGACUGAACAUUGUCAACUUUGGAAUGAUAAUUUCAAGGUUAUGACUAAAUGGAAACAUGGAGCGUCCUAAAAAUAUUUUGGAACAUACAUAAUUAGCUAGUGUAGCUAUAUACGUCAAACAUUAUUGAAUUAAUAAAUUAUAUAUUGAAGUCAAGACAUAUACAAAUUUACUUAAGAUACUGUUUAUACUUUCAUAUAACUACCGAAGCAUCUUAGGUGAACCACUUUUGCGUAUAUAUUAUCUAUUUUGUUGUUUUGUAUCUAGCAAAUUCUAAGGUAGAAAACAUAAAAGAUCCUGGAUUCUCCAUUUAUCCAAAAAAGAGCUAAAUUUCAGGACGUUAUAAGGGUAGUCUAGCAUAGUACCAUUUUUUCUGGUUAUCUUAUUUUUUCAUUCACGAUUGAUUUGAGCAAAGAAUUUCUUACUGUAGAUUUGUAUAUAAACCUAUUGUCUCAUCAUUGUUACUGGCUUUGCAUGCAAUGAUGGAAGUUCGAAUAGGAUGCAUGCUUGUCCUUGCGUUCUGAUACAUCCCUCAAUUUCCAGAAGCACUCUAGUAUUAUAUUCCAUCUCAAGAUUGCAAUUGUUGUGGAAAUAUCAUGGAAGCUGAGAUUUGUUGGUAACUAAAUGAACAAGAUCAUGCUUUUACCUGUAUACUAAAGGUCUUUAACCACAUGACAUGGAUAAUCUUCGUUUUUCUUAUUUGUUGAUCCAUCCUGAGGUUGGUUCCAAUACCUCUUGGUACAUGCUUCAUAAUUGUAUUAUAGUACUGUUUCUAUGUACCUUAGGAAGUCAUGUGAUGUGGUUGAAGACCUUGAGUAAAUACUAAAUAAGCGAACAACCUGUAGUUAUUGUGCUUGCCAAGCAUAUAUGAAAUAAGAAGGCAUACAAUUGACAAGAUAUUGUCCCUUGCUAAUCAUUGAACAGCGCUCAAUUAGAUGGUCCAUGGUCCCAAGAGAUCCCCAUAAUGAGCUGCAUCAUAUGUACCAGUGUCAUUUAAGGCUUACGUUAUUGCUGGGAAAUCACACAUAAUUUGGUCCCAUCUUAUUGAUAAAGAGGGCUAGCAGUGGUCAUGGAACUCCAAUCAUUAGAGAAUAGGCAGGCCAUACCAUAUGCAUAAAUCAGAACAUUUCAUCAAACAUUUAUGGAAUUCUUGGUUUAUACACACCUACGGGCACUUCUUUGCGUCGACGUUGAAUGCCAUGUGGGAUAAAUUAUGCCUCCAUGGUUACAUAUUUUUUUAUAGUUGUCCAAAGUUGUGGUCUGACAACGAUAGUUAUUUUGCAUGAAUACUUCUCCAGUUGCAUGUUGCUGUUGGCAUUACGGCCUAGUAUUUCUGUUGUUUGAAUGAAAUCUCUUUGCUGCAUCUAAACAUUAUGAUGACACUUUUUACAGUUGAACUUGUUCUAUUUUUUGUAGUUUUUUUUCUUUAGGUGAUAGUUUACACUUUAGGCCUUGCCUGCUUGUGGAUGUGAACAGAAAUUGCACUGUCCCCUUUGCAAUGGGUGCAAGCAACAUGCUCAUUGGCGACACCAUGUUCGAAUCAUGUUUUCAUUUCCAAUAUAUGCUUUGUUGAACCUCGCUGCCAGUAAUGUUUAUGUUUUCCUUUACCGGAGUACUCCCUUUACCGCCCUCAAGUACUGUUUGCUUAUUUCAGGAAUAUUUUUUACUGCAUAAUGAUUUCAGUGAAACUUCUUCUGUAAGAGAAUCCACACCAGUAUGUCUGACACUCGUAUCGUCUAUACCCAGCUUACAUCAACAAGAAAUUUAGUGCAGAGAUGUAUAUCAAUCUAGCUGCUCUGGAGUCCAUAGGUCAUUCACUCUGCAAGAGUCUACAUAUUACAUAUUAACAAUGUGCUUAUGUUCUGGAGAACACUCCCAGAUGUUCAAUUUCAGGUUUUGUAAGGAGUGAAAGGACCGAAGUGCCACACAUCAUGCUUGUGCCGACGUCAUAUCUGGACCCAUGCCUACAAUAUGAGGAAACCCUGCACCUGAAUCAGAGUUCUAAAGGACAUGAAUCUGACUGAUAAACAUGAUGUUAUAUGGCUCUUCAGUAGUGGUAUGCUAUGGUACGAAGCCCAUUCAGAACACAAUGAAUUCACAGGAGGCAGCAUUCAUCGAGAGGCUUAAUGUUAUUACUCUUCCAAGAAUUCAUAAAGAAGUCGACUUAGAUACUGGAGAAGAUUGCACCAGCUCAGGUAUUUGCAGAGAGGCAUCUCCAUGAGGCCAUGCAAGCAUUAUUCCCAAACAGUAAUAUCCUGUAUAUGUUGGCUGAGAAUAAUCAUUAUGCAUAUGUCAAAAAACAUGCCUUCCAUACAAAAAAAAAACCAGAACAGAUACUUAUUGACCACUGUUCUUCAGCCUGGUGACCACUAAAUAGUGCCGUGGAGAGGGAUCAGACGAGCUGUGUGCACACUGAUCAUCAUUAUGCAUCUAGCAUAGCAACACAGUGGUCUCAUCGACCAGCAGGGUGCUGCGACUGCAGAUUCCGAUGCUGAAACACAUGUAGGAGAUGAGAGAUUGAGAAAAAGACUUGCUUCCAUCUUUGCAGCGCGACUGCGAAGGGACGAAGAAGAUGGCAUGCGCGGCGUGGACUCCGAGGGAAUGAUGGGGCGCGUCGCCUUCAUGCAUGGUCCUGCCCUGCGUUUGCAGAGCCAGGACCUCCUCCAUGAUCCCUUUGGCAGGCAGGGAGGGAGGGAGGGCCGGCGUCAGAUGGACACAUGAUGAGACCCAGGUUUCAGGCUGAAUGAACUGAGAGCAACCUAGGCCAGAUCUGCCAGGCAUUGUUUUCAGGGAGGGGGCAUGUUGCUGCCAGUGCCAGGGAAUGGUGGUGUGUUUGUGUGGGCAAUACUGGAGGCUUCAGAGACAGAGCAUGGUAAGAAAUUUUCUACUAUUUGAGAUUAUAUGGUAAGACUAGAACAUCUUAGGAAGAAGAAUUGCCUUGGUCUUGCAUUCUUCUAAGAAAUAAAGUGGUAAGAAAAAAUCAUCACUGUCAUACAUUCAGUUUAGAGAGAAGGGGUAAAGCAGCGUAAUAUAAGAUGCUAUCACAGCCAGUAUACUCUAUAUACUUGGCUGUAAUAACAUCUUUUGG